AGCAGCGGGGCUUAGUGGAAAGAGCCUGGGCUUUGGAGUCAGAGGUCAUGGGUUCGACUCCCGGCUCUGCCA
rnacentral:tRNA from 1 species